GCAAGUCGAACGAAGUAGCAAUACUUAGUGGCAGACGGGUGAGUAACAUGUAGGUAUCUUCCCUUUGGCCUGGAAUAACACGAGGAAACUUGUGCUAAUACCGGAUAAGUCUUUACGGAGAAAGCUUUAUGCACCAUUGGAUGAGCCUGCACUUGAUUAGUUUGUUGGUGGGGUAAUGGCCUACCAAGACUUUGAUCAAUAGCUGAUUUGAGAGGAUGAUCAGCCACAUUGGGACUGAGACACGGCCCAAACUCCUACGGGAGGCAGCAGUGGGGAAUCUUGCACAAUGGAGGAAACUCUGAUGCAGCGAUGCCGCGUGAGUGAAGAAGGCCUUUGGGUUGUAAAGCUCUUUCGUCGGGGAAGAAAAUGACUGUACCCGAAUAAGAAGGUCCGGCUAACUUCGUGCCAGCAGCCGCGGUAAUACGAAGGGACCUAGCGUAGUUCGGAAUUACUGGGCUUAAAGAGUUCGUAGGUGGUUGAAAAAGUUGGUGGUGAAAUCCCAGAGCUUAACUCUGGAACUGCCAUCAAAACUUUUCAGCUAGAGUUUGAUAGAGGAAAGCAGAAUUUCUAGUGUAGAGGUGAAAUUCGUAGAUAUUAGAAAGAAUACCAAUUGCGAAGGCAGCUUUCUGGAUCAUUACUGACACUGAGGAACGAAAGCAUGGGUAGCGAAGAGGGUUAGAUACCCUCGUAGUCCAUGCCGCAAACGAUGUGUGUUAGACGUUGGAAAUUUAUUUUCAGUGUCGCAGCGAAAGCGAUAAACAC
rnacentral:rRNA from 1 species